AACUUGGUGGUGAAGGCAUCACAUCCGCUGCGAGUGUACAAUCUUGUCUACUCAAUUAUGCGGAAGUCGCCCGUUCAACCCGGGCCCAAGUUA